UGCCAGUAUUAAAACAAGGUUAUUUCAGAGGUGGCACAGAAUUAUUGUGUACUUCUCACACUGUGAAUUUUUCUAUUAUCACCUCCUCCAAAGAUUUUCCUUAUCUAAGCCCACAGAAACGUUUCUGCUUUCACAGUGCCCAUAGCAACAAGAGUUUUUCAGCAACCAAAAUGAUUCUUGCACUGAAGAAAGAAGUAUGAAAACUGAGCUACCUCAGUUUCUCUUCUCUAAUACAAGGAAGGAAGAGAACAAUCAUUAUGCAAAGUCAGGCUUCUUCACUGUUAUAUUCCAGUUCUGGCUCUUGGACACACUGAAAUCCAUGAAUUAUGGCCCUGAUUACCAAAGAAAAGUUGGAACACUGUGAAAAAGGGGAGAGGAAAAAGAGAAUCUUUCGAAUGUGUGGUGAUUAGGAGUUAAUGUGUGGGUUGGGAGUAUUUUCAAGGGAGAUUUUGAAGUAUAACAGUAUCCAAAGAAAAGGCUGUGAGGACAGGGUUAGCAUAAUGCUUGUGAUUAUUAUCUCAUAAAGCCCAUUCAACCUAAUGGAACUUUUUGUUGUUGGGUUGGUGGUGUUCAUAUACUGUACCUGUACUGUUUCCUUACCUGUACUGUGAAAAACAAGUGUCUGUGGUAGCUUCCAUUUUGGAUAACUGCAAGUACUGAGUAGGUUAGAACUAACGUUAUGCAUUUCUGUGGAGGAAGAUUUUUUUUUUUUAAAGUGCAUGCCACAUUGAAAUUUGUAAUGAACUUCCUAAAGCUUUUCCUCAAUGAACAAGACACCUAGAGCCGAUAUAAUAGUGAUUGCUUCACUAGCAGCAAAGUGCUGGGUGUUGUUCAGUCUCAACAAAGGUUUCCACCUAUGUAAUUUCCAUAAUUUCUUUUAUAUAGCUUGUCAUUCUAUUUAAAUGCUUUCAUGCUUUCGCUACACUUCCUGAUAUUCUUCUUUUUUUUUUUUUUAUUUAUUCAUGAUUUAGGAGUUGGGCCUGAUGAUCCUUUUGGGUCCCUUCCAACUCAGGAUAUUCUGUGACUCUCUAGUUAUCAUUCCUAGAAUGUCUCAAUGGUCUUACAGUUCCCAUAAUGAACUGCUGGAUCUAGAAACAGAUUGAGAUAUACACACUGAUUCAGGGCAUGAAGCAGCAACUAUCGGAAAAG
rnacentral:lncRNA from 1 species